GUGCUUGCUUUGGCAGCACAUAUACUAAAACUGGAAUGAUACAGAGAAGAUUAGAUGGCCCCUGCUCAAGGAUGACAUGCAAAUUCAUGAAGCAUUCCAUAGUUUU
ensembl:snRNA U6 U6 spliceosomal RNA